rnacentral:rRNA from 1 species
UACGUAGGGGGCAAGCGUUGUCCGGAAUUAUUGGGCGUAAAGCGCGCGCAGGCGGUCAUUUAAGUCUGGUGUUUAAUCCCGGGGCUCAACCCCGGAUCGCACUGGAAACUGGGUGACUUGAGUGCAGAAGAGGAGAGUGGAAUUCCACGUGUAGCGGUGAAAUGCGUAGAUAUGUGGAGGAACACCAGUGGCGAAGGCAGCCCCCUGGGCCAAUACUGACGCUCAGGCACGAAAGCGUGGGGAGCAAACAGG